UGGGGAAUAUUGCACAAUGGGGGAAACCCUGAUGCAGCAACGCCGCGUGAGGGAAGAAGGUUUUCGGAUUGUAAACCUCUGUCCCUGGUGACGAAGACAGUGACGGUAACCAGGGAGGAAGCCACGGCUAACUACGUGCCAGCAGCCGCGGUAAUACGUAGGUGGCAAGCGUUGUCCGGAUUUACUGGGUAUAAAGGGAGCGCAGGCGGGGAAGCAAGUCAGCGGUGAAAUACAUGGGCUUAACCCAUGAACUGCCGUUGAAACUGUUUUUCUUGAGUGAAGUAGAGGCAGGCGGAAUUCCGAGUGUAGCGGUGAAAUGCGUAGAUAUUCGGAGGAACACCAGUGGCGAAGGCGGCCUGCUGGGCUUUUACUGACGCUGAGGCUCGAAAGCGUGGGGAGCAAACAGG
rnacentral:rRNA from 1 species